rnacentral:rRNA from 1 species
GUCAAAUGACUUAAGGCAAAUGGCGGAGACCUAGGCACACAGAGACGAUGAAGGGCGCGGGUACCGGCGAUACGCUUCGGGGAGCUGGAAGCAAGCUUUGAUCCGAAGAUUCCCGAAUAGGGCAACCACUUGUACUUCCUACAGAAUUCAUAAUGAGGAAAGAGGCAACCCGGUGAAUUGAAACAUCUUAGUAGCCGGAGGAAAAGAAAGCAAAAGCGAUUCCCGUAGUAGCGGCGAGCGAACCGGGAACAGCCUAAACCGAUUUUAAAAGUCGGGGUUGUGGGAGGACUAGAAUAGUAAAUCUGAAGAUAGUUCAGGACUACAAUCAAUAACGUUGAUCGUAAAAGCUAUUUGAAAUUAAUCAAAUUCUGAACAAAGUUCAUAUUUGGAAAAGUUUAAACGAAGCAGCUGAAUCCUGCACCAUAGAUGGUGAAAGUCCAGUAGUUGAAAGCUUUGAUAAUGUCUUAUCCCGAGUAGCAUGGGGCACGUGAAAUCCCGUGUGAAUCUGCGAGGACCACCUCGUAAGGCUAAAUACUCCUGUGUGACCGAUAGCGAAAUAGUACUGCGAAGGAAAGGUGAAAAGAACCCCCGUUGGGGAGUGAAAUAGAACAUGAAACCAUUUGCUGACAAGCAGUGGGAGGGUUAUGUGCCUGACCGCGUGCCUGUUGAAGAAUGAGCCGGCGACUUAUAGGAAGUGGCAGGGUUAAGGACUAAAAUCCGGAGCCCAAGCGAAAGCGAGUCUGAAUAGGGCGACAUUGGUCACUUCUUAUGGACCCGAACCCGGGUGAUCUAAUCAUGACCAGGAUGAAGCUUGGGUAAUACCAAGUGAAGGUCCGUACCGCCCGACGUUGAAAAGUCGACGGAUGAGUUAUGAUUAGCGGAGAAAUUCCAAUCGAACUCGGAGCUAGCUGGAUCUCCUCGAAAUGCGUUGAGGCGCAGCGGUGACGACGAGCGAACUAAGGGUAAAGCACUGUUUCGAUACGGGCUGCGAAAGCGGUACCAAGUCGUGGCAAACUCAGAAUAUUAGUUCUCGCUUUCCGUGAACCAGUGAGACAGUGGGGGAUAAGCUUCAUUGUCAAGAGGGAAACAGCCCAGAUCACCAGCUAAGGCCCCUAAAUGGCCGCUAAGUGGAAAAGGAUGUGAGAAUGCUCAAACAACUAGGAGGUUUGCUUAGAAGCAGCCACCCUUUAAAGAAAGCGUAAAAGCUCACUAGUUUAGCGUUCUUGCGCCGACAAUGGCCGGGACUAAGCGGCCUGCCGAAGCUGUGGGAUUUCUUAAUUUAAAAGGAAUCGGUAGAGGAGCGUUCCGCUGCGGGUGAAGCAUUAACGAAAGUAAUUGUGGACGAAGCGGAAGUGAGAAUGUCGGCUUGAGUAACGAAAACAUUGGUGAGAAUCCAAUGCCCCGAAAACCUAAGGGUUCCUCCACAAGGUUCGUCCGUGGGGGGUGAGUCAGGACCUAAGGCUAGGCUGAAAAGCGUCGUCGAUGGAAAACAGGUUAAUAUUCCUGUACUCAUUUUUAUGGGAACCGAGGGACGAAGGAGGCUAAACUGAGUCUGUGUAUGGAAUGCAGUGGAAGCGUUUAGGUAUUGACAGGUAGAAUAAAAACUAUCCUGGAGCUAAGGCGUAAUCCGGUUCUAGUUUUACGACUAGAACUUCAGUGAUGUCAUACUUCCUAGAAAAGCUCGAACUCCUCUCUUUUGAGAUAAAACAUAAAAAUGACCUGUACCUGAAACCGACACAGGUAGGUAGGUAGAGAAUACCAAGGGGCGCGAGAGAACUCUCUCUAAGGAACUCGGCAAACUGGCCCCGUAACUUCGGAAGAAGGGGCGUCUCUCUAUUGAAGAGAGAUCGCAGUGACCAGGCCCAGGCGACUGUUUACCAAAAACACAGGUCUCCGCAAAGUCGUAAGACAAUAUAUGGGGGCUGACGCCUGCCCAGUGCCGGAAGGUGAAGGAAGUUGGUUAUUUCUUCGGAAAAAAGCUGACGACCGAAGCCCCGGUGAACGGCGGCCGUAACUAUGACGGUCCUAAGGUAGCGAAAUUCAUUGUCGAGUAAGUUUCGACCUGCACGAAAGGCGUAACGAUCUGGGCGCUGUCUCGGAGAGAGACUCGGUGAAAUAGACUUGUCCGUGAAGAUGCGGACUACCUAAACCAAGACAGAAAGACCCUAUGAAGCUUGACUGUAUUCUGGAAUUGGGUUUGGGCUCUUCUUGCGCAGUCUAGGUGGGAGGCGACGAAGAUUCUCUUCCGGGGGAGUUGGAGCCAUCAGUGAGAGACCACUCUGGAAGAGCUAGAAUCCUAAUGGCGAUCCUUGAAUCAGGACGCUUGACAGUUUCAGAUGGGCAGUUUAUUUGGGGCGAAUGCCUCCUAAAAGGUAACGGAGGUGUGCAAAGGUUCCCUCAAUCUGGACGGAAAUCAGAUGUUGAGUGUAAAGGCAGAAGGGAGCUUGACUGCAAGACCUACAAGUCGAGCAGGGGCGAAAGCCGGCCUUAGUGAUCCGACGGUGCCGCGUGGAAGGGCCGUCGCUCAACGGAUAAAAGUUACUCUAGGGAUAACAGGCUAAUCUUUUCAGAGAGUUCAUAUCGACGAAAAGGUUUGGCACCUCGAUGUCGGCUCCUCGUCGCUCCGGUCUGUAGUAGGUCCGAAGAGUUGGGCUGUUCGCCCAUUAAAACGGGACGUGAGCUGGGUUCAGAACGUCGUGAGACAGUUCGGUCCAUAUCUGGUUUAGGCGUAAGAGCAUUGAGAGGAGACCCCAUUAGUACGAGAGGACCUUGGGGGACGCACCGAUGGUAUAUCAGUUCUUUCUCCAGAAGGAAACGCUGACUAGCUAAGUGCGGAGUGGAUAACCGCUGAAAGCAUCUAAGUGGGAAGCCCACCUCAAGAUGAGUGCUCUCCAUUAGGCCACGGGAAGACUACCCGAUAGAUAGGUACCAAGUGUAAGGCUAGUAAUAGUUUCAGCUGAGGUAUACUAAAGGCCGAUUGAUUUUGAC